rnacentral:lncRNA from 1 species
AGCAUCUGUUGGAAGUUCUUAGGUGCGGCCAUCGCAGAAAACACACACAGGAGCUGGGGGAGAGGCACAGAGAAACAGUGUAGGAUCCAGCCAACAGGACCAGGACAGCACUGGCUACACUGGCUUAUCGAUUACAUCCCACAAUAGAAAGGAUGCUCAGGCAUAUGGCCUCAGAAACAUGGGCUAUUGAGACAGAGAAAAAGACAACUCUGGAAGGAGAGAGCCUGGCCUUACAGAAGACAUCUGAACUAUCAAUCAACAGAAAUCUCACGUAUAGUUGAAGAAUCAGAAAUCUGAGCGUAGGAAGAAGUGGGUUAGCCCUGGAGAAAGGAAAAGGAGGAUCAUGGUUCUCUGCAAAGAGCUGGAAGCUAAAAAGCAGGCUGUGUUUACUUACCAACCAGGACUCAGUGGGAUCUUUGCCAGCUUCCAAUAUGGCCUUAAAAGUAUAUGAAAUCCAAGAAAUAUUUCUGCAAAGCAAGAGAUCUUCACUGCUUUAUUUUCCACCACCUGAAUCCUUG